UCUGUUCUUAAAAAAAAAAUUAAAAAAAAAUUAAAAAAAAAAAAACCCUUAAACGACCUUGUUCUUUGGAGUUGGGUCCUGCUCGGCUUGAUGAUUUACUGCUCAGAUUUCAUUGAGAAGAAUAUUUCAGCUCUUUCAUAAUUUGCUGAACCUGUAGACUCUGAAGAAAAGAAUAUUGAGUUAUUCCUAUUCGAAGGGAUAUAAACAGUGGCAAAGGGAUGCUCUAACUAAUUAUGUCUUUAAAGGAUAUAAACAGUGUCAUAUGUGCAAUGCAGGAAUUGAAAGGUGGAAUUUGAUCCUGUUAACUAAGAAAUAUGUCUUUCACUUUUGGCACUCCUGUUGGCUAGCUAAUACAAGCCUUUCUUGUUGAAUGGAAUCAGCCCCAGGUGCUCAAUCACUGGUUUUCUGCUUAAGUAUUAACCAAGAAGAGCAUUUUGUUUUCAAUCUGUUUAGUGUUCCAAGUACUAGCUGGAUCCAUCCAAGACUGUGUAGUGUAAGCAGCAGGUUCUUCGGUUGCUAUGUAUUUUUGGCUAUUAUAGAAUCUAGACCUAGGACUUGGAUUUGGAUUUGAGUAGAAGAACAAUCAUUGCAGAUUAUAGAAUCUAGACCUAGGACUUGGAUUUGGAUUUGAGUAGAAGAACAAUCAUUGCAGAUCCAGUGGGAAUUCUUCAUCUCUUUUUCUUUGAAUUUAAUAUCUUUUUAAUUUUUUAAUUGCAGAUCCAUAGGAGGUGAUCAUUCAAUAUUUGUUGUAAAAUGUUUGAGAAAAAGAAGAUGUAAAAUAUGCAAAAUCUGUGGCUUUGGCUAUUUCCUCCCUUUGUCCACUUGUGAUGUUUUACAGAGAAUGAUAAACUCAUUCUGGUGGAAGCAUUCA